UAUAUAUAUAUAUAUAUAUAUAUAUAUAUAUAUAGAGAGAGAGAGAGAGAGAGAGAGGGAGAGAGAGAGAGAGAGAGAGAGCAGGGGUUUGUGUACUCUUAGAAGCACAAAGGCUUUCAUGCUCCUAAGUCGUUUAUAAUGAUGAAAAUUUUGAAUCAACGAUUAACUCCGUUACACUUAAUCUAACAUAUUUAAAAUAUCUAAGAAAUAAUUUUUUUGAUUUUUCGACAUCAUUUAUCUAGCAAUUGAAAGAGUUUAAAAUCUAUUUAAUGGUUGAUGUCUACCAUUUUCAAGUUUAAUAGUGUAGAAGUAUUCAAAUAAGAUGACAUUUUGAUAGAAAAUUCUGCAUACUAUCUAUAACAAAAUUGAUAUCUCUGAUCGAAAAUUUUAGCGCUAUAUCACAUUUUUUUGAGAUUUUUAUUUUCAGCUGUUGAUUUUGAACCCUUUUGAUGGCUAGGUAAAUGAUAUCGAAAAAUAUCAAAAUUUAUUUUUUAGAUACUUUAAAUAUGUUAAAUCAAGUCUAACGAGCUAAUCAUCUAUUUUGAAAUUAUAUUAUAGAAAACG
rnacentral:lncRNA from 1 species